CACGCACAAAUGCAGAUCAGGCUGAGUAUCUUUGCUCUCAGCACUGCUCUAAAAAAAGCAUUUCUUACUUAUCAAACCGGGCUGCAUUCUUACUUAGGAACUUCUACUGCAAAAGUGCAGCUGGUCAGAAAUCUGGAUUUCAUGGGGGACGUUCCUGUGCUUUCCAGCUUCUGUUAUACGCUGGGGCAGGGAUGUUUCUAGCAUCGAAAGUUCUAAAGAGUUUUAAUUGAAGGACAUUUUUGUUUCAGUGUUAAGAUUCAGUUCAGUCCUCUAACCUGCUGUUCUUUCCAGAGAUGUCGCAAUAAAGAGCCUUCGUGCUGAGCAACAAACCCCCCGAGACCCUGCGGAGGGUUUGGCUUAGUGCUGGUUUGUGUUAAAGCACAAUCAGUUCAUGUUAAGCUUUCUAAUGAGAAAACGAGGAGGACAAAGAUUGGGUUGCAAAGCUGCUGGUGUGGUUGCCAAGUGGGGGAUAGGCAGCACCUCCAGAUUUCUCAGGAGAUUUUACUGCAGUGCUGGCAGCAGUGAGGGAAGAUCCAAAUAAGCAGCAGAAAGCAGUGCAAGAAAGUGUGCAAUUCUCACCAUGUGGGAUGCUUCCCCAGAUUCUGGACCCAAGAGUAGCAAACUUGAAGAGUUCUCCCGGACAGCAACGUGUCUGGUACAGAUGGGGAAAACCCUUCUGAGCCAUGGAGUGAAUUUACUGCGCUUUCACUGUGACACAGAGCUGGAAAUACUUCAGGACUUGGCACCUUAUGGAAGAAGUCUGAAAACCUGAAUCUCCAUCUUGUGUUCAGACAAAAGUCUCCAGUUUCUCUGUGAGAUCAGGAGGCUAUGGCCACUGCAGAAUUGGGAUGCUCCCAUAGUGUUGUGCUAUUUUAGCUAUUAUGGCUGCUUUAAUUCAUGCUUCGGUGGUUGUUUUUAGGUUUUUAUUUUUUUCCCCAAAACCUUAAACAAAACAAAACGACUGCCCCAAUCUGAUCCAGCUCACCUGUGCUUGACCUUUCUGUCUCCACCACGCCAUGCAGCUGGUCCUGCAGUUCAUUUGUGCUUUUUUUGUUGGUGCCACUUUUGCUCUCUUUCAAAAGAGAUGCGGAGAGGCCACAUCAAGCUACAUACACCCACACCCAUGCCAGAAUUGCAGAACCCUACAGCCAAGUCUGCUGCUUUCAGUAAAAGGGGCAGGGCUUUUAGAUACCUCAUAGAAGUGGAUUAAGACUCUAACGGCUUAAAAAGUACACAAAUAUUCAGAAAUAUUUGUGGUGCUCAUGAGUAAUGUUAUUAGCUUGAAGAUUACAGUGCUUAAUGUACAACAGGAUUUGAGGAUUUAAUAGUAAAGAUCCAGAGUAAUGUGGCAGAUGUCUUGCAUUAGAGUACACUUAAGUGUGUAUCAGAGUAGAAAAUAUUUUCUAUUUUAUUACAUUACAUAACAUAAGGGAAAGGUUUAAAAACAAGUUGUAUUAAUAGAUACGCUGCAUUUCUUCCUUAUUUGUGCUGGUGGAUAGCUAAACUUCUGACUUCCUUUGUUUUUGACGGUUACAUCAUGCAUGAUGGGUUUACCAAGAGAAUUAAUAAAAUGCUUCAGCUUAUUUUUCAUUCAAGAUCAUGAUGACGGAGCUCUGUCUGGUAAGCUGCUGAAGGUGCUUAACUUACUCCUCCCUUGUUUCUCUGUUGGCUGCACUGCCUGCUCCUGCAGACUCCAAAUAGAGCAUGAGCCUGCCUUGGGUGAAAGAUCCAUCCUGUCAGAUAAAGCCCCUCAAGGCUGUUCCCCAUAUAGCUCAGCUGCUACUGGCUGGGAAGGAGUGGAAGCAGAGAGCAAAGUAUGGCAGUAUAGACAGAUGUGAUGAUGGGGCAAAACUUUCAUGUAUGAGUAUUGUGCUCCUUUCCUUUUACAAGGCAUGUAGCAACCUUAGCAUGCAGGAGCUGUUAGGUAUAUCUCCUUCAGAGGUGCUUAAUCAGAUGCUAUACCUAUACAAAACACUUUGUAAUUCACGGAUCUCAUGCUGAGUUUAAUAAUAGGACAAGAAACUCUUCUGUUAUAUUUAUAGAUGAAUAAAUAAGCCGUUAUCUGUGGCUUAUUUUCCUCUAUACCAUGACAUGCCUCGUUUCUUAACUGAUAGAAAACUAGAAUCAAACACAUCUCUAUUGAGCAAGCUGUAAAUUGAGGCUGUGAGUUGCUUUAUUCAUAAAAUGUGAAGAGUCUUUUGUGCUCUCACUGGUCUCCAACAUCCUUUUUCCCCAUGUGGAUGAGGCUGGAUCCAGGUGUGGGAUUUGCAUAGGCUGCAUCCAAACCAGGGAAGUGAACACUGUCUCUGCUGUUGCCUGGAGUGCAGCUGAGCAUUGCAGCCACUCUGCGCCAACUUGACAAGCCACUUAGCUUUCUAUUCAGUCUUCUCAUCUACACAAAGUUGUUAAUACUCCUCUGAACAUUUUCGAGAUGAAGGUCCAGCAGUAAACUCAGGCUUACUCAGCAGCAGGGGCAGGGGCAGGAAGAUUACUGUCUGUGCUUGUUUUAUUUAUCUUUCCCCUCUCUCUGCCUAUGAAAGGUAUUGCUGAGUGCACGGAAUCCCUGGCUGUCACAGUCUCAAAUGCAUCCUGGUAUAACACAUUGUACAUGCUGCUCUAGUGCAAUCAGAUGGUUUUUUGUUUUCCUUUGGAUUCUGAUAUAAUUAGAUGCACAUGAAAAGAGAAAAUACUUUAAAAUGUUUACGUUUUUAUGCAUCUCUGAUAUUCUUCACAAACACAUCAAGUCCGAAUGAACCCACGGUCCACUGCUGAGACAUCACUUACUUGUUAGAAGUCACGUUUGUGUUCUGCUGAACUGUGAUAUUUACAAACGUUUACACUGUUGGGCCUUUAGGCACAAUGAGGGGAGAAAAGUGCCCAGGAAAGCAGUGACCACUGAAAAGUUGCUUUCCUUCCUGCUUAUCGGUUAGAGUGCUGUUGUCUGGUCUUCCAUGCAAGAGAAGUACUUGUCUUGGAAGUUUACAUCCAUACAUUUUUUAAACGCAGAAGUAUCUAUCCUGCUUAGCUUUGUUUUGAGGGAAGGAUAUUCUGUAAGAGCAUAAAUGAAAGGAAUAGAGAUACUUCGUCAGUAAUAGAGCUACUUACAUUUAGACUCAGAAGUGAGGAAGAUAACUAACCCGACACCUUAUUUUACUCCCAGAAUUUGACUGUGAAGCUCUUCUCCAAAAACACACUGCUAAUCAGCACUUUAUCUCUCACUGAAAUAUGAGAAGAGCUGGGAUAUUACACUACGUUUCACUGAAUAUCUUUUUUUUUCACCACUGGGAAAAGAAAAGGAAACAAAAAUUGGCAGAACUUGGACUUCCUUAUGUGAGUCUUCAGGGCAUGAAAGAGCUGCACUGUAAGCUUGGAAUCAGAAAGUGGUGAGCAAGAAGCUUAAGAGAAACUAGCAAGAUCCAUGACAACUGCUAUGAACAGUGUUGGAGGAGAAAUCCUUUGAAUAACUUAGUUACAAAGUCUUUCAGUCUGACCAACUUGUAGUCCUCCGAGUCCUAUUUGUCACUGCAAUUCACUGCUUGCUGUGAUUCUGUAUGUUUUAAAUUUUAUCACUCCAGUAUUCCUGAAGCAUCCUUUACUGCAGCAAGCUAUUUAUUCUCCCACUUUCAGAAUAUGAGAGAUGUUUCUGUGGCUGCUUCACUCCCAAUUCUUAUGCCUCCUUAUACCUGCAUGGUGCAGUGACCACAAAUGG
ensembl:lncRNA